GACAGAGGGUGCAAACGUUGUUCGGAAUUACUGGGCGUAAAGCGCGUGUAGGCUGCUCUGCAAGUCGGGUGUGAAAGCCCUGGGCUCAACCUAGGAAGUGCACUCGAAACUGCGGAGCUUGAGUCCUGGAGAGGAAGGCGGAAUUCUCGGUGUAGAGGUGGAAUUCGUAGAUAUCGAGAGGAACACCGGUGGCGAAGGCGGCCUUCUGGACAGUGACUGACGCUGAGACGCGAAAGCGUGGGGAGCAAACAGG
rnacentral:rRNA from 1 species